UACGAAGGGGGCGAGCGUUGUUCGGAAUCACUGGGCGUAAAGCGCACGUAGGCGGCGCGUUAAGUCAGGGGUGAAAUCCUGGAGCUCAACUCCAGAACUGCCUUUGAUACUGGCGUGCUCGAGUGUGGGAGAGGUUGGUGGAACUCCGAGUGUAGAGGUGAAAUUCGUAGAUAUUCGGAAGAACACCAGUGGCGAAGGCGGCCAACUGGCCCACUACUGACGCUGAGGUGCGAAAGCGUGGGGAGCAAACAGG
rnacentral:rRNA from 1 species